GCCGGUUUAGCUUAGUGGUAGAGCGUUGCACUUGUACUCAUGUAUCGGAUUUGGUACAAUGCAAAGGUCGGUUGUUCAAUCCAGCCAACCGGCA